AACGGGGGUUAAAGAUGAGCAUGCACUCCGUAUUAGCUUAGGUUGGUGUAGGUAACGGCUCACAAGGCAACGAUCGGUAGGGGGUCUGAGAGGAUGAUCCCCCCACACUGGUACUGAGACACGGACCAGACUCCUACGGGAGGCAGCAGUAAGGAAUAUUGGACAAUGGAGGCAACUCUGAUCCAGCCAUGCCGCGUGAAGGAUUAAGGCCCUAUGGGUUGUAAACUUCUUUUAGACGGGACAAAACCCCUUUACGUGUAAAGGGUUGAUGGUACUGUCAGAAUAAGCAUCGGCUAACUUCGUG
rnacentral:rRNA from 1 species